ACCUGAGUCAAAUGUGGCGACGAUUCUUAGAGCCGGAAGUCCCAAAGCAGUGUGGAGAGAGCGACGGAACAAACAGAACUGUCUGGAUGGCAGCAGCAGAUAGAAAAAUCUGCGGUGUCUCUAGCCACAGCACUGAAGCCACAGCACUGAAGCCAAAGCCCGCCAACUUUUGGCUGCG
rnacentral:lncRNA from 1 species